GAUGAAGAACGUAGCGAAAUGCGAUACUUGGUGUGAAUUGCAGAAUCCCGUGAACCAUCGAGUCUUUGAACGCAAGUUGCGCCCGAAGCCACUAGGCCGAGGGCACGCCUGCCUGGGCGUCACACGCCGUUGCCCCCCCAUCUACUCCUUCGGGAUUGCGGGGGGGCGGAUGAUGGCCUCCCGUGCGCCUAGCCGCGCGGUUGGCAUAAAUACCAAGUCCUCGGCGACGCACGCCACGACAAUCAGUGGUUGCGAAACCUCGGUUGCCCGUCGUGUGCGUUCGUCGCGCAUCGAGGGCUCGAAAAAAUGCUCGGCUCCGGCUGGGCUUUCAACGCGACCCCAGGUCAGGCGGGGUUACCCGCUGAAUUUAAGCAUAUCAAUAAGCGGAGGA
rnacentral:misc_RNA from 1 species